AUGUAUACCCACCAUGCUGAAGGUGAGAGGUACUUCAUGAGGGUGCUUCUGAAUCAUGUUAGAGAUCUGGUGUUUUAUGAACCGACCAACAUCCAUGCAUUGUGGGAGAAGCAUUUGGAGUCAAUAUACAAAGAUUACCAUCGCACCCAUUCCAACCUGGUCACACAGGAACAGAUGGUCCUUAGAGACAUCCAAGAUCUGGUGCAUUCUAUGGGAAAAUGUAUUAAAAAUUAUGGCCUCCUAGAGUUGGUUGAGACAAGGGGUGAUGGUUUCACUGACCUCCUAAGGGAGGUUCGAGAAGAGUUGUCAGUCGGUGUGGAUCAAGAUCAUCUAGAUUUGUAUACAUCUCUAAACAUCAAGCGGAGGGCUGGUUUGAGAAAACCUUGA
rnacentral:rRNA from 1 species